ACGAAGGGGGCUAGCGUUGUUCGGAUUUACUGGGCGUAAAGCGCACGUAGGCGGAUCGUUAAGUCGGGGGUGAAAUCCUGGAGCUCAACUCCAGAACUGCCUUCGAUACUGGCGAUCUUGAGUCCGGAAGAGGCGAGUGGAAUUCCUAGUGUAGAGGUGGAAUUCGUAGAUAUUGGGAAGAACACCGGUGGCGAAGGCGGCCAUCUGGACCAGCACUGACACUGAGGCACGAAAGCGUGGGGAGCAAACAGGA
rnacentral:rRNA from 1 species